rnacentral:rRNA from 1 species
GAUGAACGCUAGCGACAGGCCUAACACAUGCAAGUCGAGGGGCAGCACAUGCGUAGCAAUACAAUGGUGGCGACCGGCGCACGGGUGAGUAACACGUAUGCAACCUACCUGUAAGAGGGGAAUAACCCGGAGAAAUUCGGACUAACACCGCAUAAUACCUCGAAGCUGCAUGGCUUUGAGGUUAAAUAUUUAUAGCUUACAGAUGGGCAUGCGUAACAUUAGAUAGUUGGUGAGGUAACGGCUGACCAAGUCAACGAUGUUUAGGGGUUCUGAGAGGAAGGUCCCCCACACUGGUACGGAGACACGGACCAGACUCCUCCGGGAGGCAGCAGUGAGGAAUAUUGGUCAAUGGGCGAGAGCCUGAACCAGCCAAGUCGCGUGAAGGAAGAAGGUUCUAUGGAUUGUAAACUUCUUUUGUAAGGGAAUAAAAAAGCUUACGUGUAGGCUAUUGUAUGUACCUUACGAAUAAGGAUCGGCUAACUCCGUGCCAGCCGCCGCCGUAAAAC